AACGAACGCUGGCGGCAUGCCUAACACAUGCAAGUCGAACGAGACCUUCGGGUCUAGUGGCGCACGGGUGCGUAACGCGUGGGAACCUGCCCUUAGGUUCGGAAUAACUCCCCGAAAGGGGUGCUAAUACCGGAUAAUGUCUUCGGACCAAAGAUUUAUCGCCUUUGGAUGGGCCCGCGUUGGAUUAGCUAGUUGGUAGGGUAAAAGCCUACCAAGGCGACGAUCCAUAGCUGGUCUGAGAGGAUGAUCAGCCACACUGGGACUGAGACACGGCCCAGACUCCUACGGGAGGGAGCAGUGGGGAAUAUUGGACGAUGGGCGAAAGCCUGAUCCAGCAAUGCCGCGUGAGUGAUGAAGGCCUUAGGGUUGUAAAGCUCUUUUACCCGGGAUGAUAAUGACAGUACCGGGAGAAUAAGCUCCGGCUAACUCCGUG
rnacentral:rRNA from 1 species